UCUGAAGGAUCAAAUCCUGGGCUAAGUUCAGCCCUGGCAUAAAUGAGUGCCUUAACUUCCAUGGGUAGUCCACCUGCUUACACCAGGGCUGAAUAUGGCCCAUGAACUUAAUGCAAAUAAUCUUAAUUAUUAAAAGGAGAAGAGGGAGAAGAGGGGCCUCUAGCAACAGAUGACAAAAAGAAGGGGAAGGGACCAUUUCUGUCUCCAACAAGUUGAACAUCCUUCUUCGAAAAAGAACCCCCCGCUAAAGACUCACGUUGAAUUAUAACAGCAUAAAGUACCUGGCCACCGUCAGGGAGGGAAGACAAUUCUUACUAGUGCUCUUGGUCAGUUUAGGUCAUUCCUGGUACAUGAGCUGCUUUCAGGCCCUUCAGUUGGGUGAGCGGGGUUGUAAGGGUAGCCGGGUUUUGAGAACGUUUGCUCUUCCCUGUUAAAUUCUGCACUCUUGCCACUCCUCUUUCUCAGGCAUCAGUUUGAAGGCACAAUAGGUGGAGCUGCACCACUGCAAACCCCUGGACAUGACUUACACUCGCGCAAUGUGAUGGGUAGCAGCACGGUUUAUCUUAGUCAGCAUUGACCGAGGUAUUGACCACGGCUUAUUACAUGGAUGUGCAGAACCUAGCACCAUGGAAAUCCAUAAAACCUUGCUGGUCCAAGCUCGUGGUGUGCAGUUAGGAGCCAGCGGUCCAGCUGAGUUGGCCAGGACUCAACUAAAAGCUAGCAGAAGAGGAAAGGAAGAGAUCCUCCCCGCACACACCUGGUCUGGCAGAGGAUGUGAGGAGAUCGGUGUAGCUGGCAUAUCCAGAUGCCGGUGAGGACGCGCAUGCUAUAUUAGAAAUGGGCCAAUUUACUGAAGCGCAGCUGCACAGGGACUUGCAAAUCGAAAUCAGAGCAUUGAUAUGCAGGACAGGUUGUGAGGCAGUAGAAUUCGCUAAAAAACUGGAGUUCAUCCAUUCAACAGCUCGGCAGGAGAAAUAACAGCUGCUAGUUAGGAAGGUGUAAGCUGAUCACCCUCCCCCCUGUAAGUACAAAACUGUGUCUAAGACACAUGAUGUGAAAGGGGAUCUCACAAGAACCCCACUUGCCCAUGGCCCCAGGGCUCCGGCUCUAGGAAGAUAAGGGGAGAUCGAUGUAGGAGGCUCUGGCAGUGCUUUGUCAUCUAAGGAUCCCUGUACGUGGGAGAUCUUGCGGUGACAGAACAGCACAGACCUGCCUCUACACAAGGAGGAUCUGGCCCCUAAUGUUCUAGCCACGUGCCCAAACUCCUCAUGAGUCAUCCAGUCCUUCAAGCUGAUUGGCCUCUGGGACACUAAAUUCACCACAUCUGGAAUCAUAUACUCAGCUCUUCCUUAGUCCUUUAUUAAAGCCAGUUAGCCAAAGUCCAGGUGUUGUGGGGGUGGAGGGAAGAGGGUCUGUGAGGAGGAGAAGUCAGCGAAACCGGUCAGAUGUAUUCUUGAUGUAAUCUUGUUUGUUUGCAAAACAUGUGCACACAGUCCAUUUUUCCCCAAGCACAAUAGAAACAAACAGCAGCAGGCAGUUUCCUUGCUCAAAAAUCCCCAUAACUGCUCUUCCAGCAAGUUCCAGCAAGUGCCCAAGAAGUCCUGCACCUCUGUGUCCUCUCAGGGUCAUGCUCACCACUCUUUCACUUGGCGGCCUGCCUCCUGCGCAGACGACAUGCCGCCUGCCUUAGCCCCUCGGUCCACAUGCACAGCACCAAC